UUAGGAUUCCCUCCUUUCCCACUUUUCACUAUUUUGGUUAUCCCCAAACCCUCUUCGUUCUUCUUAUCUUCCAUCCACAUCGUGGCUCUUGAUCCUUUCAUAAUCAUUUCUUCAAGCAAGGCAAAAUGGAGAUUGGCGUUUCUGAAUUUGCAAUUGGGUCACUGAAUUGGAGAUAACGACAAAAUCGCGAAUUACAUUUCCGAUUUGGCGAGAAGAACAAGGUUAGACGGUAUAUAUCUCUUCAAAUUCGGUCUUCAUUUUCACAAUUUUGUUGUUCAAGUUAUCAAGUGAUUAUAAUUGAUUUUAUUUUUGUGUGGUUUUGAGACCUAAAUUAGGGUUCUAUAAGGGAAUUAGGCUAAUUAGGGAAUUGGAGGUUUCUGAAUUGGCGAUUGGGACUCUGAGUUGGAGAUACAGACAAAUUAGCAAAUUGCGUUUCUGAAUCAACGAGAAGAACAAGGGUAUAUUGACAAAUGAAACGAAGUGCCUGAGGCGUGAGACCGUCACAGUUAGAGACGAGACAUUGUUCGAUUUAAGUCUUGAUAUAGAACAGAACAGCUCCAUCCAAGGAUGGUGCAUGUAUUCAAGAGUUACAAGCUACUUUAAAUAUGUGAAGAUUUAUAGGGUUUUUGGCACAAAAAUAUUACAUAGUAGAUAGGUUUAAAAAAAUAGAGUAAUCGGACCGUGAUUGCAAGAUUUUAUUUUAUUUUAGUGGAUUUAGUUUUAGUACUUAUGUUUUCUUUUUACUAUUCAGACAAUUGUAAAAGAUAUUAUGCUUAUGAAUUUAAGGUAUUUGAAAUGUGUACAUUUUUGAACUUA